AUUGAACGCUGGCGGCAUGCUUUACACAUGCAAGUCGAGCGGCAGCGCGGGGGCAACCCUGGCGGCGAGCGGCGAACGGGUGAGUAAUACAUCGGAACGUACCCUGAAGUGGGGGAUAACGUAGCGAAAGUUACGCUAAUACCGCAUAUUCUGUGAGCAGGAAAGAGGGGGAUCGCAAGACCUCUUGCUUUAGGAGCGGCCGAUGUCGGAUUAGCUAGUUGGUGAGGUAAAGGCUCACCAAGGCGACGAUCCGUAGCGGGUCUGAGAGGAUGAUCCGCCACACUGGGACUGAGACACGGCCCAGACUCCUACGGGAGGCAGCAGUGGGGAAUUUUGGACAAUGGGCGCAAGCCUGAUCCAGCCAUGCCGCGUGAGUGAAGAAGGCC
rnacentral:rRNA from 1 species